rnacentral:rRNA from 1 species
CAGUAGCCGCGGUAAUACGUAGGGUGCAAGCGUUAAUCGGAAUUACUGGGCGUAAAGCGCACGUAGGCGGAUAUUUAAGUCAGGGGUGAAAUCCCGCAGCUCAACUGCGGAACUGCCUUUGAUACUGGGUAUCUUGAGUAUGGAAGAGGUUAGUGGAAUUGCGAGUGUAGAGGUGAAAUUCGUAGAUAUUCGCAGGAACACCAGUGGCGAAGGCGGCUAACUGGUCCAUAACUGACGCUGAGGUGCGAAAGCGUGGGGAGCAAACAGGAUUAGAUACCCCGGUAGUCCCUGUCUCUUAUAC